rnacentral:rRNA from 1 species
UACACUCCUACGGGAGGCAGCAGUGGGGAAUUUUACGCAAUGGGGGAAACCCUGACGUAGCGACACCGCGUGAGCGAAGAAGCCCUUUGGGGUGUAAAGCUCUGUCAGCUGGAACGAAAACAAUGACGGUACCAGCAGAGGAAGCAUCGGCUAACUACGUGCCAGCAGCCGCGGUAAGACGUAGGAUGCGAGCGUUGUCCGGAUUUAUUGGGCGUAAAGAGUUCGUAGGUGGUUUGUUAAGUUUGGUGUUAAAGAUCGGGGCUCAACCCUGGGACUGCACUGAAUACUGGCAGACUCGAGUGUGGUAGAGGCUAGUGGAAUUCCCAGUGUAGCGGUGAAAUGCGUAGAUAUUGGGAAGAACACCGGUGGCGUAGGCGACUAGCUGGGCCAUAACUGACGCUGAGGAACGAAAGCCAGGGGAGCGAAUGGGAUUAGAUACCCUGGUAGUCCCA